CAGCUAGUUGGCGAGGUAACGGCUCACCAAGGCAACGACGGGUAGCUGGUCUGAGAGGAUGGCCAGCCACAUUGGGACUGAGAUACGGCCCAGACUCCUACGGGAGGCAGCAGUGGGGAAUCUUGCGCAAUGGCCUAACGGCUGACGCAGCGACGCCGCGUGUGGGAUGAAGCUCUUCGGAGUGUAAACCACUGUUGCCCGGGACGAAUAGCUCGAUUAAUCGAGCCUGACGGUACCGGGUGAGGAAGCACCGGCUAACUCCGUGCCAGCAGCCGCGGUAAUACGGGGGGUGCGAGCGUUGUCCGGAAUCACUGGGCGUAAAGGGCGCGUAGGUGGUUUGAUAAGGGUGUGGUGAAAGUCCGGGGCUCAACCCCGGAUCUACCGUGCCGACUGUCAAACUCGAGGACUGUAGAGGCAGACGGAAUUCCGGGUGUAGCGGUGGAAUGCGUAGAGAUCCGGAGGAAGACCGGUGGCGAAGGCGGUCUGCUGGGCAGUUUCUGACACUGAGGCGCGACAGCGUGGGGAGCAAACAGGAUUAGAUACCCUGGUAGUCCACGCCGUAAACGAUGGGUACUAGGUGCCUGGGGGAGCGACCCUCUGGGUGCCGGCGCUAACGCAGGAAGUACCCCGCCUGGGGAGUACGACCGCAAGGUUGA
rnacentral:rRNA from 1 species